rnacentral:sRNA from 2 species
UGACGGCCACCGCCUAAUCGUCGUUCACGAGCCGGGGACCCAGGAACCAGGGGUCAAGCCACAGCAUCACCGUGGCCGGGCGCGCUUCCCGCCCGAACCCGUCAGCUAACCCGGUCGGCGGCCGAGGGAAGAAAG